UGUCUGCAUUCUACAGGCGUGCCUGAUGCCCUUGGAGUUGAAAACAAGGCAUCAGGCCUGAGAACUGGAGUUACAAAUGGUUGUGAAGUACUAUGUGGGUGCUGGGAAUUGAACCCAGGUAUCUGCAAGGAUCACAGUGGUCUUAAGCUCAGAGCCAUUUCUCCAGCUUCUCUGGGUUGAGUUCUUUCGUGUCCUCCUCAGCCGCUUCUAACCCUGCACUCUGCUUCCUUUGCAGUUCCAUUGUGAUGAUAUGGCGUCUGCCAGCUCCAGCCGGGCGGGGGUGGCCCUGCCUUUUGAGAAGUCCCAGCUUACUCUGAGAGUGGUGUCAGCAAAGCCCAAGGUGCACAACCGCCAGCCCAGAAUCAACUCCUAUGUGGAGGUGGCAGUGGAUGGACUCCCCAGUGAGACCAAGAAGACUGGGAAGCGCAUCGGGAGCUCUGAGCUUCUCUGGAAUGAAGUCAUCGUUCUGAAUGUUACAGCCCAGAGUCAUUUAGAUUUGAAGGUCUGGAGCUGUCAUACCUUGAGGAAUGAACUACUGGGCACUGCCUCUGUCAACCUCUCCAAUGUCCUGAAGAACAAUGGCGGCAAAAGUAUGUAUGAUUCAUCUCUAGUCAGGGAAGAUAUGGCAACCAGACCAGAGGUUGAGUGUUGCUCUGCCCCUUAG
rnacentral:lncRNA from 14 species